rnacentral:rRNA from 1 species
CCAUGCAUGUCUAAGUGCAAGCCAAAAAUAUGGUGAAACCGCGAAUGGCUCAUUAAAUCAGUUAUAGUUUCAUGGAAUAUGAAAACCACUUGGAUAACUGUGGCAAUUCUAGAGCUAAUACAUGCCUGAAUCUUCUACGGUCACUGACUGUUGGAAGACGCUUUUAUUAGACAUAAAGCUGCCGGUUUGCAGUUUAUCUGUAGCUGGGCACAUAAAACGUGAUGACUCUGUAUAACUUUGCCGAUCGCUUAGGCCUUUGAGCCGGCGACAAUUCUUUCAAGUGUCUGCUCUAUCAACUGUCGAUGGUUGGUUAUACGCCUACCAUGGUAAUAACGGGUGACGGAGAAUCAGGGUUCGAUUCCGGAGAGGGAGCCUGAGAAACGGCUACCACAUCCAAGGAAGGCAGCAGGCGCGUAAAUUACCCAAUCCCGGCUCGGGGAGGUAGUGACGAAAAAUAACGAUACGGGACUCACUUGAGGCUCCGUAAUCGGAAUGAGUACACUCUAAAACUUUUAACGAGUACCUACUGGAGGGCAAGCCUGGUGCCAGCAGCUGCGGUAACUCCAGCUCCAGUAGCGUAUAUNAAAUUUGCUGCGGUUAAAAAGCUCGUAGUUGAAACCUGGUGCCCAGAAGAAUAGUCACCUUUGUGUGGCGCCUCUUUCUGUGGUACAUCCUGGGUGGCUGUCUGUCGUCCGCUUUAUUGCGGGCUUCGGGUGGCCAUCAUAUAUCACUCUGAUAAACUUUGGUUGCUCAGAGAUGGCCUUGUGCCUAUAAAUUCUUGCAUGGAAUGAUGGAAUAGGUUGUUGUUCCGUUUGUGGCUUUUGGAAUCGACAAGAUGACCAAGAGGAACAGGCGGGGGCAUUUGUAUUGCGGCGAUAGAGGUGAAAUUCUUGGACCGUCGCAAGACAAACUAAAGCGAAAGCAUUUGCCAAGAAUGUUUUCAUUGAUCAAGAACGAAAGUCAGAGGUUCGAAGGCGAUCAGAUACCGCCCUAGUUCUGACCGUAAACUAUGCCAACCAGCAAUCCGCCUGAGUUGUUUAUUUGACUCGGUGGGCAGCUCCGGGAAACCCUAGUACGGUUCCGGGGGGAGUAUGGUUGCAAAGCUUAAACUUAAAGGCAUUGACGGAAGAGCACCACAAGACGUGGGUCGUGCGGCUCAAUUUGACUCAACACGGGAAAACUCACCUGGUUAGGACACUGAGAGGAUUGACAGAUUGAGAGCUCUUUCUUGAUUCAGUGGAUGGUGGUGCAUGGCCGUUCUUAGUUCUUGGAGCGAUCUGUCUGCUUAACUGCGAUAACGAACGAGACUCUAGCCUAUUAAAUAGACGUACUGUCCGCAGAGUACGGUAUGAAUCCUUCUUAGAGGGAUUAGUUGCUUUCAGCAACGAGAAACAGAGCCAUAACAGGUCUUUAUGCCCUAUAGAUAUCCAGGGCCGCACGCGCGACACACUGAAGGAAAAAGCGCGUAGUUUUCCCUUGUUUGAGAGAACUGGGUAACCUCGUGAAACUUCUUCAUGAUUGGGAUAGGGGUUUGCAAUUAUUCCCCUUGAACGAGGAAUGCCUAGUAAACACUAGUCAUCAGCUAGUGUUGAUUACGUCCCUGCUCUUUGUGCACACCGCCCGUCGCCAUAACCGAUUGAACGGUCUAGUGAGGCCAUCUGAUUGAUUCUUUUUGUGGCCUUUGGUUGCGAGUAGAGUCGAGAAGAUGACCAAACCCG